ACCCACCCCCGCCCCUCCUCCGCCAACCGCGUCCUCCCGGGCUGGGUGAAGAACUGUUUCUGGAGAAGCCUUGAGGACGCCAAAGCCAGCCAAUAGGAAGCGACGAGAUGCGGAGAUUGGCAGGCAGGAUUGGAAGUUACAGCCACUGAUUGUGAUACAUAGGCCAGGCUGUGACCAACCCAUCCCAUAAUCACCUCUAGGACAAGUACUUUUCCACCAUUCCAGACACCAAGCCUAAAAAGGAGAAGACUGGGGGCAGGGAAAGGCAGGGAGGAGAAGAAUUUUGGAAACUAGAAAGGAGCUUGAGAGGAAAUAACGAUGUUUACUUUCACAGCCCAUCCAUUUGUUUACCUUGUUAAAGCCCCCAAAACUUGUCUUCCACUUAGUAUUCAAAUAAACUGAAGCACUAGGCAAAUGAACUUAGUCAGCCAAUCAGGGGAGGGGGGUUGUUUGUUUAAAAAAAAACAACACUUGACUGUGUCUAUGGCCUACCCAACACCAUCU